UACAUCAUGUGUCAUUCAGUCAUAACCAGAAUUACGUCCAGAGUAAUUUUCAUUAUUUUUAAGAGUGUAUGAUCAAAACAAGAAGACCUUUUAUUCAAUGUCUACUACGAUCUACAAUUAUUCAAUCUAUCUCAUACACAUGGCAAAUCUUCUUUCACUAUCGUACAAUUCCUCCUUUUCUAUCAAAUUUGCUUUGGUCUUACAUUCUCUUAGACCGAUCACAAUCUGCAUCUUGACGUACAAUGUUCUUUCAGUUAAACGCCAAUAUGAAUCGCCGCCUUGUUAUCCAACCCAGCACAAUUUUCCUUCCAUUUCCUAAGAACAUUGUACGUCAAGAUGCAGAUUGUGAUCGGUCUAAGAGAAUGUAAGUCAUAGCAAAUUUGAUAGAAAAGGAGGAAUUGUACGAUAGUGAAAGAAGAUUUGCCAUGUGUUUGAGAUAGAUUGAAUAAUUGUAGAUCGUAGUAGACAUUGAAUAAAAGGUCUUCUUGUUUUGAUCGUAGUUCUGAAGUACAGACGUGUUUUCAUUAUGUAACUCCGACACUACAUUUUUGUUCUAUUUUUACAAACAAUUCAAUGUUUUUUUUUCAAUUUUAGCUAAGCAUAAAACACGAUUUUUUCAUGCUUUUCUUUUGGAAGAAAAUCACCCGAAAGAUGUAGAAUUCGCUUUUCAUCCCAAGGAUAAACUACAGAGGUGGUACUCUACCAUUGAAGCAAAAUAUUCAGUAUAAUUUUGCAAGCUCACAAACAUUCACCCUUACCUCACAUUAUAUCAUCGAGGAACGAACUACAACAUACAUCGCAGCGAUCAUUGCUUUUACAAAAAUAAAAAUGUGACACGCGACAUUGCUGUUCAACCCCAUCUCAAUCCAUUACAUGGUGGAAAAAACUAUUCUUUUAGUUUGUAUAGAUAUUUUUUUU